GUCCCUGUCGAUUAGUGGUCAAAUCAUCACGUUGUGGUAGUUGUAUCAAACCGUGAAGCCGGGAGCUCGAAUCUCCCCAGGGACA
rnacentral:tRNA from 1 species